GUCAACGACCCACCGCUAUAUUGCUUUAGCAAUUAGCAGGGACUUGAAAGAGUCCAUAGUUGACCAGCUUAAGUUCAAACAAGAACUACGUUUUUAGAGCUAUCACACCUACGAAUGCGUCGCUAGUUUGCAGCUCUGUGGUUGACAGUUAAACAUCUGUAAUUGGGUUAAGGAAGUGCUGUCAGCGUCACAAACUCUAAAAACAUUAGCGAAGCGAACUUUAC
rfam:Roseofilum reptotaenium AO1-A Rreptotaenium_AO1_contig_34_len_130776_cov_401.654, whole genome shotgun sequence.